AUUGAACGCUGGCGGCAGGCUUAACACAUGCAAGUCGAACGAGUGGCGGACGGGUGAGUAAUGCUUCGGAACCUGGCUUAUGGAGGGGGAUAACUACGGGAAACUGUAGCUAAUACCGCGUACCAUAGGAUGAGCCCAAGUGGGAUUAGGUAGUUGGUGAGGUAAAGGCUCACAAAGGCGACGAUCCGUAGCUGGUCUGAGAGGAUGACCAGCCACACUGGGACGUAGACACGGCCCAGACUCCUACGGGAGGCAGCAGUGGGGAAUAUUGCGCAAUGGGGGCAACCUGACGCAGCCAGUCCGCGUGAAUGAAGAAGGCCUUCGGGUUGUAAAGUUCUUUCGGUAGCGAGGCGGUAACUACAGAAGAAGCACCGGCUAACUCCGUGCCAGCAGCCGCGGUAAUUC
rnacentral:rRNA from 1 species